AUACAGAGGGUGCGAGCGUUAAUCGGAUUUACUGGGCGUAAAGCGUGCGUAGGCGGCUUUUUAAGUCGGACGUGAAAUCCCUAAGCUUAACUUAGGAAUUGCAUUCGAUACUGGGAAGCUAGAGUAUGGGAGAGGAUGGUAGAAUUCCAGGUGUAGCGGUGAAAUGCGUAGAGAUCUGGAGGAAUACCGAUGGCGAAGGCAGCCAUCUGGCCUAAUACUGACGCUGAGGUACGAAAGCAUGGGGAGC
rnacentral:rRNA from 1 species